UGGGCCUGGAUGGCUAUGAUCCAAGACAGGCAGCAGAGCUCAAAGCAUUACCAGGUAACACUCUAAUACUUUUGUCAGGAGGGAGGAGCUCCACCCAUCAGGAAUUAGUAUCACCCUUUUUUGGGACAAUAAAAAGAGGGAAAUAACCUUUAGUUUUUUUAAAGUCAAUAUUGUUGUUUUUUUGUUUUAUCUAGCUCCUUUACACAUUUGCUGCACAUAUCUACCUGACACACACCACAGACCCUGUCCCCACCUCCAU